rfam:Haemonchus placei strain MHpl1 genome assembly, scaffold: HPLM_scaffold0007348
GGCCCAAAUUUGAAAUAGAAUGGAUUAGAAGGAUCAUCUGACCCUACUAAACUACACUACUUCGAGUUUGUGCCC